UACGUAGGGUGCGAGCGUUAAUCGGAAUUACUGGGCGUAAAGCGUGCGCCGGCGGUUUGUUAAGUCCGCUGUGAAAUCCCCGGGCUCAACCUGGGAAUGGCGGUGGAAACUGGCGAGCUAGAGUGUGGCAGAGGGGGGUGGAAUUCCACGUGUAGCAGUGAAAUGCGUAGAGAUGUGGAGGAACACCGAUGGCGAAGGCAGCCCCCUGGGCUAACACUGACGCUCAGGCACGAAAGCGUGGGGAGCAAACAGG
rnacentral:rRNA from 1 species